ensembl:lncRNA
GGACCAACACAGAGCAACCAUCCUACAGCGUAUCUCCUCUUCCCUGGUACCUCCUCUCUCUCUCACACACACACACACACACACACACACACACACACACACACACACACACACACUCACACACACACACACACACACACACUCCUGAAGUUGGCAUGAACACCACAACCGGAUGACCACAGCGGGCCAGGCUCAACCUCAGACAAACCAAAGCAGGACCUGUAAAAAGCAAGCCACCCAUCACUCACCAGCCAUGACCAGCUCAGCCCAGCCCAACCCGGCCGGGCCCAACCCAGAGAGAUGAUCUGUUCAGCAUGGAUGCCCAGGCCUUCUUUUUCACCAACUGUGUGCCAUUGAUAAGUCAUAAAUGUGCUGUGAACAUGUUUAUAAAUGUUAAAGACAUUAAAGGAGAGGGGUGGAGGGGGAGGAGGGUUCUCUAGCAUCCAAUGCCCAGGGCAGGGUGCUUGUGCAGUAAGCUGGUCUGCCUUAAAAUGAAAACAUGUCACACACACACGCACCCAUACACACACACACGCAUACACACACACACACGCAUACACACACAUACACACACCCUCACACACACACACACACACAUACACACAUACACACUCAAAAGCCAAUGCUGAAGAGGAAAAACAUGAUUGACAGCCACCCUUUCGCUCACUCUUCGCUCAACCUUAAAGCCUGUUAUUUGGAACUUCCUGUUUCCCUAACUGCACAGAUGUAUGAUAAUGUAUUUGUUUUUUUUUUCUCUCUCUAUGGAGUUUUGCUCUUCUCGGGGAACUUUCCCUUUCCCUCCCUAUGUUACCAUAGCAGAACACUCCCCUGUCCACAAUGCAUCACACAGUUGCAUCGCUGCGUUUCUGGGGCCAUGGCAAGCUCCUGGUUGAUUUUUGAGAGGGGGCGACAUGGGGGUCAGGUUUCCUCCCUGGCAUUUAUGGAAACCCGUGAAGCGUCCAUCCACAGAGCAGUUCACAACGGGGGGAACAUCCCUGCCUGCCUCACCUGCGGACCGGCCUCACUGCACUCUUCACCUGCUCUCCCCCUCUUCCUGAGAUUUAUAGAUAUCCACACACACAUACACACACACAACACACACACACACACACACACACACACACACACACACACACAUCUCCCGAGGAGCCUGGAGGAAUGCCAUGGCAGGAACAGGGCAGCAACAGGUGGUUCUCCUGAAAAAAAAGCUUCAAGCUUCAUCUGGAAUGACAUCUGUGUUUCUUAUCCAGUGUCUUCAGAGAUGCUGAGGAGAUCUUCCUUUGGUCCUUUGGUUACUCAGCAGUGAAUGCAACGAAACCUCCAAAAAGGUUGUGGCUCUGUUUUUAUUUAUUUAUUUAUUUGAGAGGACGAUGCGCUCACAUGUCAAGUGCUCUGAUGUCUGAUGGCUGUGUCUCAGACGUCUGUGAAGCCUUUUUUUAAAUGCACAGAAUGCCAGACUGGAGCAGACAUCGGAACAGGAAGCAUCUUCCUGACCUCGUGGGAAUGCCGGGGAUUUUUUUGCCAUCAUUUGGGCUGAUUGCCGGAGAGAUCUGACGUGGCGUAAUGUCAUGGACAUUGCAACGGCGGUCUGGUGGAAUGGUUAUAAAGUUAAGAUGGCAGAACAGUCCCAGACGUUCCCAAGAAUACUCCUCUCCUGUAGUGCCUCUGAAAGAAGUGGCCCACAGAGGUGUGCGUGUGUGCGUGUGUGCGUGUGUGUGUGUGUGUGUGUGUUAAUGCUCAGUUGUCUAAACGGACCCUGUAAAAAUAGUUCCAAGACUUCCCUUUAAAAAAAAAAAAAAAAAAGGUCCUCUGUUCCGUUUUCUCUUUCACAGAGAUAGCAAGACCAUUACAUUUUCCAGCUACUUUUCAGGAGUCCAGACAAGUCUGAUUGAACAAUCUGCUGAAUAGAAGUUGCCACACAUGGCAGGAUUCAUCUCUGAGUUUUUCACUUGUGUAAUAUUUUUUUUCUGGCAUCUUUCUAACUACUCCUGGGUCAGAAAAGAAGAAACAAACCUAGCUCAUAACAUGGGGAGAGAACGCAUGUUUAGUACCUUUCUUGGUUAUGAGAAUUGCACCAAGAGUAGCGACACAGGGGAGCCUUGAGAUGACCCUUGACCUUCUACACACAGGAAGUGAUGUUCUGCUUUCCGGUACUUGAAGUAUGAGUCUUCUUGUGAACUGAAAAAAGCUAUUGUUCCAGUUUAGUGCCAAAUGAAUGUUUACUGAAAACAGAUUGAGAUUGAUGUUAUGAGAUGUGAUGUGAAUGAUUAAGGAGUCUGUUUUCGUCAGAUCGCCUCCUGAUUCUUGUUUACCCCCCUUCUUUCAAGGUUCUUCGAGUUGUGUAUUCCCCCCCCCCCCCCCAAAAAAAAAAACUCCUUCAGGAAUGCUCUCUUUUCUGUGUGCAAGACUUGCUGUAUGUGAUUGCACUGUGAAUGAAUACAUAUGUCUUUUACUUCUCUACUUUUCAUUUAACUGUAAUAUUUGUACUUUUGUAAGAGUCUUCUGCCAUAUUCCCAAUGCUCUUCUUUUUAUCCAUGGUGUUUUAUAUAUGUCACACAAUUUUAAUGUUUCUAAUGAUUGGAUUGCACCAUUUUCUUGUUUUUGUUUAGUUGAAUGGUGUGUGUGUGUGUGUGUGUAUUUGUGUGUGUGUGUGUGUGUGUGUGUGUGUGUGUGUGUGUGUGUGUGUGUGUGUGUGUGCGCAUCUGUAUGUGUGUCCUUAAAUACACUUCUAUCACAUACUUUAGGGUUUCUCAGGCUUAUGGUAAAGCUUCAUAGUCAACAUGAAGGUAGAAUGCAAUCAUGGUUUGAAUAAUGUCUGAACAUGAUUAUUACAUGCAACAACCUAUGUCCAGAAUGUACCAAGUCCUUUGAUAAGUAGAUCAAGAGUAUGCGUGUGUUUGUGUGUGUGUCUGUGUGUGUGUGUGAACUGUACAUGUGUAUGUAUGUGUUUCAAGUAAAGCUGAUGUUGAUUAGACCUCUCAUCUUAUACAUGUAUCUUGACUUAGUACUGCAUAAUAAUUUAGACAUUCAUUGAGUGUUAACAUUCACUAUUUUAAAUGAUAUAUUUUAUACCAGAGACUUCCUAAAUUUCCAUUAGAAAAAUAUUCACGUGACAUUUGCUUCUCUCUACAUGUUAUAUAGAUGGUACGGUUUAUUUUCAGCUGAGCUUGCUUGGCAUGUUUACAUUAACUAUGAUAUUUAAAAUUAUUAUGUCUUUUCAUUUCUCUUAUGCCUUGAAUGUUUAUGUGUAUGUGCAAUAAAAAUAAGAAUUAGACAACAUUUGGCUAAUGCAAAAUGAAAUAACAUUGUUCACAUUACUAUAUAUUUUACAGCACUUGCUAGAUUGCCUAAACAUCAUUUAUAUUAUUACUUAUAUUACAUCAUUUGUGUUUUAAGCAUAAUUAUCUCAUGUUAAAGGAAAUUAUUGUCCAUCACAGUAAGAUGCAUUAACAUCGUCAGAAUAUUCUAUUUUUUCUGUACAAAUAUUCCAGUAAUAAGUAUCCCAUUUCAUGGGAAAUCAUCAGAAAUGCAGUGAAGUGAUUGCACUUGGCACGUGUCCUGGUUGUAGGUUGAUACCCCCAUGAAUCCCCCAAGCUUGCUUUUUCAAAAUGUAUUUCUUACAACAACAAAAAAAAUGAUAUAUAUAUACGUAUAUAUAUAUAUAUAAAUGUAUACUGUAUAUAUACACAUAGUGUAUAUGUGUGUGUGUGGAUGUGUGUCUUUUUGCAGGCAAGCUUAAGGUGAUAAGUCUUAAGGCAAGGGCAGCAUUGUUUGCUGUGUGUAUGUUUGUGUGUGUGUAUGUAUUUAAUGUUGUAUAUGUAUGUGUGGAUAUUGUAUGUGUGUACGUGUGCUUGAUAAAAGAUGGAGUGUUCAUGCCAACUUCAGGAGUGUGUGAGUGUGUGUGUGUGUGUGUGUGUGUGUGUGUGUGUGUGUAUUUGUGCGGCAUGUUCAGGCUCUUAUUAUUUAUACUAUACAGUUUAAAGUGGACUUUCAUCCUGCCCCUGAACUGGACUGGGGUCAUGUAUCACUAUCCUCUGUUAUUUCAUGGAGAUGUUUGUGCAACUGACAGGUCUGCAAGAAACAAACAUUGGUCUUGAAGAGAUUUUCUGAAACAUUGUGCUUGUCUCUGCUCAUUCAAUAAAGGUUUGCUUUUCUUUUGUUCACCAA